AUACGUAGGGGGCGAGCGUUGUCCGGAAUGAUUGGGCGUAAAGGGCGCGUAGGCGGCGCGGUAAGUCUGGAGUGAAAGUCCUGCUUUCAAGGUGGGAAUUGCUUUGGAUACUGCCGCGCUUGAGUGCAGGAGAGGUUAUCGGAAUUCCCGGUGUAGCGGUGAAAUGCGUAGAGAUCGGGAGGAACACCAGUGGCGAAGGCGGGUAACUGGACUGCAACUGACGCUGAAGCGCGAAAGUGUGGGGAGCAAACAGGAUUAGAUACCCUGGUAGUCCACACUGUAAACGAUGAAUGCUAGGUGUAAGAGGUAUCGACCCCUUUUGUGCCGGAGUCAACACAAUAAGCAUUCCGCCUGGGGAGUACGGCCGCAAGGUUGAAACUCAAAGGAAUUGACGGGG
rnacentral:rRNA from 1 species